CCUACGGGCGGCAGCAGUGGGGAAUAUUGCACAAUGGGCGCAAGCCUGAUGCAGCCAUGCCGCGUGUGUGAAGAAGGCCUUCGGGUUGUAAAGCACUUUCAGCGGGGAGGAAGGCGUUAAGGUUAAUAACCUUGGCGAUUGACGUUACCCGCAGAAGAAGCACCGGCUAACUCCGUGCCAGCAGCCGCGGUAAUACGGAGGGUGCAAGCGUUAAUCGGAAUUACUGGGCGUAAAGCGCACGCAGGCGGUCUGUCAAGUCGGAUGUGAAAUCCCCGGGCUCAACCUGGGAACUGCAUUCGAAACUGGCAGGCUAGAGUCUUGUAGAGGGGGGUAGAAUUCCAGGUGUAGCGGUGAAAUGCGUAGAGAUCUGGAGGAAUACCGGUGGCGAAGGCGGCCCCCUGGACAAAGACUGACGCUCAGGUGCGUAAGCGUGGGGAGCAAACAGGAUUAGAUACCCCAGUAGUC
rnacentral:rRNA from 1 species